CUGCAGAGCAGUUGCAGCACCGGAUGCUUUUCAAACCACCGGUGGUUGAUCGGAACGCGAGCCAUCCAGAUGCGGUCACGUUCACCGUGUGUUUCCAGCCACGAGUUUGGCGAAUCUCGGCAACCGGUCCACGGGAACAUCGCCCCAAGGUGGUCGGUUCCAAUUCAAAACGAAAGAUUCUGGUUAGUGCAUACAAAGUUGUCACGCGGGAUGGCCAUGGUACUGCAAGUGCCCCGGAACGACCCUACGCUAAAACAGACUUGAAGACGGUCACGGCCAUUCAGGUGCCUUCGGAACGACGGGUGAGAUGCACCACUAACACGUCUGAUCUAAAUCAUAACCGGCACACGUUCCUGGAUCUUUUUCACCGGCUUAUAUCUGGAAUUGUGAAUCAGGACUGCCAUCACCCUGCAAGUGACGUAGAAAGCAACGCUGCAAGUGUCCUUAGAAUAACGCAGCACGGAACAGGUUCAAUGGACGGUCGCCGCUCUGCAGUUGUCCUCGGAACAAUGUAUUUAAAGCUGCACCAAUAAAAAAUACGCCAGGUCAAGAUCAUCGGAAUUCGGUCCAUGGGCGUAGGCCGAGAAGAGCUUCAGGUUUGAAGAGAAGGAGGAGGAGGAGAAACAGGAGAAGGAAGUGGUGAAGUGCCCGGAGAAGAAGUCACCAGAAGUGUUCGAUAUCGACGAGACAGUGCACGAAUCGCCGAAGGAUGCCACCAAACUAAAGCCAACCGAGCCCGCUGCCGCUCCCGGAACACCCCAGAAGACUGCCGAUCAGUCGUCCGUGGAGAUCGCCGACAAGAGCUCGGCCGACCUGGACCGCUCGCUGGCCAACAAGGACGUGCGCAAAACAUGGCCACGGCCGGCACCGCUGACAUGAGCAUCCUGGGAACGCCCGCCAAACCGCCGAAAGGUGGCCUGCUGUCGCGCCUUCGGGAGGGAUCGUGCAGUACUCCGAUAGCCGACGAGAAGAAGAAGCCGCUUGGUUCUCCCAAGAUCAACGGAAUGUGGUCCACGGCCUGUUACAUUUCAAAAUAGGGACGGCCAUGGUCUAGAAUAGGCUCGCCGGACGGUCGCCAACCUGCAUGUGUCUUCAAGUCAAGAUUAUCCGAAUCCGGUCAACGAUCCUGGUUCAUACAAUCCGAAACUGCCACCAGGGACGAGUAUGGCUCUAGAAUAGAUUCGCCGGAUGAUUGCCAACUGCAAGGGCUCUCGGAACAACGCUGCACGGAACAGGCUUGCCGGACGAUCACCACCCUGCAUGUACCCGCGGAACGACUGAUUAAUAUCCGCACGGACGCUCCAAGUCAUCUUAUAAAACAGGU